rnacentral:rRNA from 1 species
GUCUACAGCCAUACCACCCUGAAUGCGCCGGAUCUCGUCUGAUCUUGGAAGCUAAGCAGGGUCGGGCCUGUUUAGUACUUGGAUGGGAGCAACAAAAUAGGAUACAGUAUAGG